UGCAUUCAUGUUCAGUUACAUACAAUAAUCUCUCCUUAAUCAGCCAUAAAGCAAGAAAAAAGGCAAAGCGCUGUUCACAUAGUGUGGGCACACUGUCCUUGAUUUCUCUGCGAAGACGGUUGAUUGCGAUCCUCCAUGGAGGAGAGGAUGUUGAGGUGCGCAGCUUUGAGAGUGUGCACGGGCUCCUGAAGGUGGGAAGUGCUAUGUAAGUGCUGAGCUAUUCAGCUUCCCAGGCAAGAGGAGAUGCUUAUCUUAUUCAUCCCUCUUUUAUUUGUAAAAUCUUUUUGUCUCUUGGCAGGUGAUCAUUUUUUUUUCCUGAAAACCAAUUAGCUACUAAAAUUAAACAUGCUUCUCUUUAAAUUAAUCCUUUUCAUAAAACGGUCUUAAAAUUGGCCUUGGCUUCUCAGUGUAAGUAGCUGACCCAGUUGUAAUUAGAGAUGCGUUUGGAGUCCCCCUUUCUCCCAUCUCAGCUGGCGUUCCUCUGCCCUUCCCCCUGCUGCUGCCAGGUGCUGUCCACCUUCGGGCUCUCGGCCUGGCUGGCCUCAUCUUGGCAAAGGUCAGAGGUCGGCUCUGGGACAGCCGUCAGAUUAUCUGGUUCUGCUGCCCAAGUGCACUGACGGCAACUGGUGGAGCUGUAAUCACUGUAAAUUCAGGUGACGGUCAGAUGAGCCGGGAGAGAGGAUGCCUGCUGGUUGUUUUGCAGUGAUGUAUUGUUUAUGGGAUUAAUGUUCCGAAUGGCCAAGGGUGUCAGCUGAUAUUUAUUACUGUAAGCUGUCUCAGCUGUUCAGGUUCAGCAGCUAGAUCCAUGGCCACAGGAAAUGUGGGACUCAGUGGCGUGUCCAGUAUGGCUGAUGUGUGCAAAUGUAGCUGGGACCUUCGAUGGCAUGAACUGGGUCUGCAAAAAUGUCAAUGCAAAGAAGAAAUAAAAUCUAGACGAAUGGAGACGCAGGAGCCGCGGGAGCCGAAUUCGGUCCUGAAAAACACUAAUUUGCUGCUUUCUGACCAAAUGUUUUUCCAUCUGUGUACAGCUACAGCUGUUUGAAGAGAGGGAACAACACAGUUUAGAAAGAAUCCCCAUUCCAGCAGUAGAUUUAACUGAUCUCUGAGGUUCAGUAUCAUUUUUCAAAUAAAGGAAUUAUAUUAUUUCCUCUGCAUAAUUGAAAUAGUAUUAAAUGUCUCAAAGCACAUGAUUAGAAAAUGAGAUCUUUUAAAUGAGCAAGAGAUUGCAUUGCAGUUUAGACAAUUCCAGUGGGCUUUUUUUUUUCUCUCAAAAAAAAAAAAAGAAAAAGAAGCAGCAGCAGCUUUGCUGAGUUCAUUUAUUUACUGACCCAUCCCUUACAUUCCCUCCAUGGUUUAACCACAGACAGCGUUUGCUGGUGCUGGUUAGUGAUUUUUACCAUCACCAACCCAGCCAGGCUUCAGUCUGUCUGGCAGGAAGCUGCUGAGUGGGGGUGUUGGGGGGAAGGCAGAUAAUUAAAUCAUCUCGUCAUCUUGCAGGUCGGAGACUACGUAUGUAAUCCUCACUCUUUGGACAGGAAAAAAAAACCCUUUCUUGCUAAUAAGUCACUACAGAAACAUACCCCAUCCCUACCCGCCCCUGCCAGCCACACAGAGAAGCAAAUUCUUAUGACUUUUGACUGUAAUGACAUCUGGAAUGUAAGGAGAGGUGGGAGGUUUAAUUCCAGAAAAAUUACAAGGUCCUUAAAAAGCUCUCACAUCGAGGGCUCAGGCUAGCGUAAACAGGCUUUCUCCAGCUCAGUGGAGCAGUGAGCAGCCGACUCUGAGAUUAGCUGGCUUCUCCACGGCCAUCCUAUAGAAGGGAUUUCUAAAGCUCAAAGAAUUCUGUGUUUAAACGAUCACAAUAGGCUGCUGCUAUCAGAUUUUAGAAAUAAAUGCAGCUUUACCAUGAACCUGCCCCACUGAGAAAAGCCAGGCAGAUCGAUUUUUAGAGCGAUCAAUUCCUACAGUGCUGGCAACUUGGUGGUGUGGGAUGCUCCUGGGUGGAGAGGGUUUUCUGCUGGGGAGGACACGGGUGUGUGUGUGACGGCAGGAGUUGUGUCCAGGGAAGCCAGAGUCCCCCCAGCUGCUGGGCUCCUCUGCCUCUCUGCAGCAGAAUGUCUGUCCUCUGUUGACUGAUUGGAGAGGAAUGGCAGAAGAUUUCUCCUGCCCCUCAUUGCAAAAAGAGCUUGUUUCCCUGAGCCUUCAGAAAUCCUCAGCUUCAAACACAGGAAAACAGGCCAGAACAUCACCCGGCUCCUGAAUUAAACUCUGUUCUGGUGCCUGAGCUCAGGGGUUUUCAGAGAAUGAAUAAGAGACUGUACAGUGACUGGUGGGUCCCUGGGGGCCAGCUGCCUUCUCAUCCUGGGAGGUGGCACUUCCCAAGCCCACCAGGGCUUGUGAGCAGACUGAAGGGGCCACCGCAGCCCCUGGCCCUCAGUUCCCAGCUCUUUCUGGCUAAGAGCAUACAGCAGAGACUGAGGCAUAGCUAGUUUCAAAGGCGGUCUGGCGUGAAAGUCAUUAACAAAGCCAGCCGUGAAAAGGUGUCCCGGAGUUGCUGUGGACAGACCUGUAAGGACUUGCAAAACAAAAGAAAGUGAGGUUUUUCUAAACCGCAGAGCUAGCUGCUCUCUGCAGCCUCCUCCACUGGCUUCUCUGGCUCACCCAACUCCUGCUCCUACUUUGAACAGAGGCAACACAGAAUUAUAAGGAAUCAGAAAUCCCCCUUCUACCUGGCUGCAAAUGUGGCUCUAGCACUUGAAAAUUGUUUUUCCUUCUGAAUAGUUCAUCAGGGACAAGUUAACUGAGGGGCAAAAUGCCUGCUUGGAGGUCCACAAUUUUGGAACACUGCAGAAUGGAACUUUGACUGUGGCAGUGGAUGGUCUGUAAAAUUUGUUUGUUCUUUUACCACCAACUUAGGGAGUGUUUUAAAGAGCCCUCCCAAGGCCUCCGCUAGCAGGCAGAAGCCACUCCUCUGAUAACGGCCUCUGUAAAUGUUCCGAUUUGCUGUUCAGCUGCAGAGACUCAGAGACAUUGCAGAUGUCACACGCUUUCAUCUUCCCUUUGAGCCCUUUUGAACCCUCCUGGGGCUCUGGGGUAGAUGAGAGAAGCCUGAAAAAGGCAGAGUUUGAAAGCUCCCAUUUAAAAACAAAAUGCUUUUAAAGUCCCCUUGCCUCUCCCCUGCCCACUUCUGCCCCCUGACCAGAAGACAGAAUUUGAAGCCGGAAAGGGGAGACCCCUUUUCCCCUCCUCCCACCUCCAGUGAGUCUGAGUCAGACUUUUGCCCUGUGAACGAUUGCAUCUGAAUGUGCGGGGCAGAGGGCUGGGGGCCAGAGGGCAGACGAGGCCUGGGAGGGGCCGUGGUGUGUGCUCCAGCCAGUUGUGGGAAAAACUCGAGCCCUCCUCUCCUCCCGACCUAGCCCGUGUGGCUGCUUUUGGCUAGAUUCCCUGCACCCUGUGCAAUACACCCUUUCCCCUUCACUCUCCCUUGGUUACCAUGGAAACAAGGGUGUCAUUGAUGUGGGCUGAGCUGGGGAACAUGUCGGUGCACAGCUGAAAGUCAGCGAUUAUGCCGGCGGUUAGAAAUGUGCCAGGGUGAAAGGAGUCCGCAGCUCCCACGGCUGCUGGGAGGACCCCGUCCUGCCCCCUUCCUCCCUCCCUCCGUCUCCACGCCUCUCUCCUGGCUUUUGACAAAUUUCUUUAUUCCCCUCUGGACUAAAGUAGUGGCUAUUUUUGUGCCACUCUGCGCCCCACCCUCACUGUUGGCCGCUCCUUAUCCGGCCUGGCCUGGAGGGUGACACCAUGUCACCCUCACCAGGACUCGUCUCUCCAUUCCCGUCAGAGUUUGCUUUGAUUUCCCUUUCCUUUCCUUCUCGGGGACCAGUUCUUACUUCCUUUUAUUUUUAGCUCUGCACUCCAUGUGGUUUCAGGGUUCAGUCUGAUCCAUCAAAAGGUUCUUUUUUUAUAAUCCCUUUUGAAAAUGAUAAUCAAAGGAAGAGACGUGGUGUUUGGUCAUGUGGAAAACUCAAUGUAUAAUUUAGACGUCUGUCAAAAAUCCAACAAAUAAAAUUUAGCUGGAA